ACAGUCACACAUUAGAUACCCGCGUAGUCCCAGCCCUAAACGAUGCGCGUUAGGUGUAUCGGUGACCACGAGUCACCGAGGUGCCGAAGGGAAACCGUGAAACGUGCCGCCUGGGAAGUACGGUCGCAAGGCUGAAACUUAAAGGAAUUGGCGGGGAGCACAACAACGGGUGGAGCUUGCGGUUUAAUUGGAUUCAACGCCGGAAAUCUUACCGGGACCGACAGCAACAUGAAGGCCAAGCUGAAGACUUUGCCGGAUUAGCUG
rnacentral:rRNA from 1 species